AUGAAAUUUGCUACAUUUGAAGAUGCAAAGGAGAACUACCGGAGUUAUGCAAAGUUCCAUGGGUUUGCAGUAUACACAGACCAUCGCAAAAAACUAGUAAAAACAGGAGAAUACAAUAGAGCUGAGUUAAGGUGUUUCAAGUCGAGAAAGAAGAAGAAAAAAGGGGGGAAUGGUCCAAUCAUCAGAGAUCGGCGAAGAGACAUCAUGGUCAAAAUGAAUUGCCCUGCCAGAAUGAAGCUGAACGUCGAAGGGGCCUGGUGGGUGGUAACAAAGUACGUGGGAUGUCACAACCAUGAAAUGAUUAAGAAAUUUGACCUGAUUAGGUUUCUGAGUGCUCACGUGGAUUCACGCCAGAGGAGCAGCAGUUUGUGA
rnacentral:rRNA from 1 species